UACGUAGGGUGCGAGCGUUGUCCGGAAUUAUUGGGCGUAAAGAGCUUGUAGGCGGUUUGUCGCGUCCGCCGUGAAAAUCCGGGGCUCAACCCCGGACUUGCGGUGGGUACGGGCAGACUAGAGUGUGGUAGGGGAGACUGGAAUUCCUGGUGUAGCGGUGAAAUGCGCAGAUAUCAGGAGGAACACCGAUGGCGAAGGCAGGUCUCUGGGCCACUACUGACGCUGAGAAGCGAAAGCAUGGGGAGCGAACAGG
rnacentral:rRNA from 1 species